rnacentral:lncRNA from 1 species
UUUGCUUAUUUGAUUGCCAUGAUAUUGGAUUAUUACCAAGGAAGACUAGAUAACCAGUCACUGAUCUUCUAGUAUUAUGAUCAACCACAUUCCAAGUAUUAAUACAUCUAACAAUGAAGGUAGAGAUUACUUGCAGAAGAGAUGAUUGCAAUUGAGUGAAUCCGCAGAACUCAGUAGACUCAAACUGCAAAACAGAUGGGGAAAAAUCAAGCCCAUUAACAAAGUGAAGAGAAAUUUUAUAUCUUUAAACGAAUUCUAGACAAAAUCAUGUAAAGGAAUUAAAUGUUGCGGAUUAUAAAUUAAGAAAUUAAAAAAAAAACCAUUUAAAUUUGUUUACUUGCCGACUUCCCAUCUGGUUGUAGAGAAUCAAACUGUAUGCAGUUCAGAUUUAC